rnacentral:lncRNA from 1 species
AUGGAAAGGUCAAAAAUACUUCCUUUAAAAGAUGCAGAAAUUGAACAGUUCUGGUUUUCCUGCCAAAAUGCAAGUUCUUUAAUACCUCAAAACUGCAUGUGGGAUGAAUAUAUGAACACAGCAUUUGUAACCUCUCUCUAUUCCCUCCCCUCCCUGCUCCCGCAGCGGAAUUCCAACAUUUGUCCAACUCUGCUAAGAAACCUUUCUGCAGAGGGCUGUUUGCCACCUCUAAAUACAGAUACAGAGCAAGCUUGCUAUUUCUGUCCAGGCAAAAUUGCACUGCUAUUAGUGGCAUUGCUGUUGUAGAAUUCAGGUUUGGGGUGGAAGCAGCAGGCUCUGCUGCUUGCAACGAGAAGCCGCUGUUUCUUUCUCAAGGCAGCAAAGACUUUCACCACAGCCUUGGGUGUUUGCUACCUGGGAAGGUGCUGCGGUUUUGCAAGGUGUCUGGAGAAGAACCACCGAAGUGAGCUGGCAGCUGAUGGACCUAUUUGUACAAAUGCAAAGACUCUGAAAAUCAUUGUGUGAAGAUGUAUCCACAGAAGAACUUGGGGACCUAAGCACUGUACAACUGCCCCUCUAGGUUCCUAAAUCCUGAGCAGCUGCUGACUGAGAUCUGUAGGUACUUUAAAGUUUUGUUGKUUUUUUUUUUUYCAGUAAAAUUUCUUGUGCCUAGAAGUCUGCUCCUGAGCAUGCCUGACUCUGUUUAAGUCUGUAGCGUCCUCCUUGUGUGUGUUUCCCCGUGAUCCCUCCGGCAGGGCUGGCUGCAGGGCGUACCCCAAGUGAGGGAGGCAGCCUUGCACCCCGACACACGAGCACCCCCUAUCCGGCCCUGCUGUUAGGAGGGGCUGUAAACUUAGUUAAUCCCCCCCUACCCCCUUGCAGCCGUGUCUAACUACUCUUCGCUGUCCUGCCUUCAACGCAUGUGCAGCCUGUGCUCUCUUCCCUUUUCAAACGCUACAUCGGUGGUCCGAGCUCUUGCUCACAACCUGGGAGACUAAACUUUCCCCCUUCCACAUCCCUGGGGAAUCACUGAACCUCCGGGCUACCAUGUCUUUCCAGACUGCAGACUGGCUCAAAUCCUUUGGCUUGAAAUUGUUUCAUGUUGCAUGAGUCGCUCACCAUUGCUGGGUCAGGAAGGGAAAGAAAACCACUGAACACUACUUUGCAGCCUAGUAGUUAAAGUGUGGGCCCAGGAGAGAAAGUACCAGGAUGUUUUUCCUUGUACAAGUAAAUUGCUAUAAAAUGUAGAAGCAUAAAUUGGAUCCAGGUCUGGAUUCUAGGUUUCCUGCUUCCCAGGACAAUGAUUAACCACCUGCCUGUAUAACCGGACUGUAAAACACCUGACUUGUUUUGGUCCCAGGCCCUGGCUCAGUUAAUAUUUCAAUACACCACACAAUGUGGGAUGGCUUUCACAGCCUGAGAGCUUUUCAGCCCUGUAAAUCUAACAGCCUAAUGUGUCAAAGGAUUUGCAAGGGAUGCAUCUGGGUCUUMUACGUUCUGGGAGAAAGCCCUAAUGCUUGUGCUAACAGAUAAAUGACAACUGCAUGGUUGUCAUUAUGCAAGAGCAAGAGACCAUGAACACCUAUCUCCAGAACCCAGACAGACCUAAAUUAAGGAGCAAGGAUGGAUCUUAAGACCAAAUUCAUUUCUUAGUGUUUGCUCUUGACCAUUGUUUCUGCUUGGCUUGCCUGAUACUUAAUUCCUAUCCUCAGAUGCUCACAUGGUCUCGUGCAUUUCAUUAAAAAGUUUCUGGGUGUCUAAAUCACAGCCUGAAUCUCAUUGGACAGCAAAUUGCCUAAAGGAUAUUCUCUGCAGCAUUCAGCAUAACGAAGUCUAUGUCCUUUUGUGGAUAUCAAUUGACACAUAAUUUUAAGUGAGCAACACAACAGUAUAAAACARAUGGUACUCAGAACAACCCAUGGUUAGCUCAGAACACCAGCAACAUACCGUGACCAAAGGAAGCCCCAGAUAUCUGAUCACUAAAGGUAUAAAAACCUUACACAUGGCAAGUCACCCCAAAGGGCAGGAAACUAUCCUGCAUGUGUAGAGAGGGGCUGGGAUCUGGACUUMGAGGGCCACUCUGUCUUAAGCCACUGAUCCACCAGAUCUAGGUCAUAGAUCUGCCCUUUGAAGGAGACACAACCCAUCCACAACUGGUCAAAUGCUGGUUUAUGCCUGACCUGCAGUUGAGGCUGUGCAGCUGGUCUGUGUGUGUUCAGCACCGCUCUGGCUGCGCAUGUGCAGRGAUCAUGCACGCGUGGGGCUUUUGCGUCAUGUGUGCAGCGAGUCCCAGCUCUCGCCGUGUGAAACCCAGGCCCCGUGUCGCAGAGGCAGUGGGACCAGCCUGUGCAUUGCAUGCCGGGGCUGCCUCCCUGCAGGUGCACACCUGCCUGGMAUGUGGCUGGAGCAGAGGGUCGUCCCAGCUCCAGCUUUGAGGUUACACAGAAACAACAACAAAUCCUAGCAAGUAUCAGGGGCGGGGGGUGGAAGUCCUAAGCAAUUAAUACAACACUUUCCAAAAAUACUCCUGUCUCGUCCAAGUGUUCAUGUUUUCAUUUGUAACCAUCGCCUUUUCAACAACUAAAAUAAACACUGCUGAAGGACU